AUUUAUGGACAAUGAAUAAUGGUGCAGGUUGUAGAAUUUCCAGUGCCACAGCUAGUGGCCAGAAGCCAACCACUCUGCCACAAAAAGUGGUACCACCUCCAAGUUCUUGCGCCUCCCUGGUUCCCAAACCCCCACCCAACCACGAACAAGUGCUCAGAAGGGCAACAUCCCAGAAAGCUUCCAAAUCCUGCUCACACUAAAAUAUGAACCACAAACACACAGAGAAACAACCUGUUCACCACUCCUGGGUGCAUGAUUGAGGGUGAAGCAUCCACCAGCACUUCAAGGGGUCCAUAGUAUUUUUUUUUUUGCUGCCUCAAAGUCCCCAAAGCCUUCGAGCAGAAGUGGCAGUAGAUGGUUGCCAAUCAGCCAAUGCAGACUUUCACUGGGACAACAAGAAAGCAGAUCUUCUGGGUUUUGAUGGAACUUGGCAGUGGGGACAUUCAGCUGAUGCAUUAUAUACCCCGUCAGAGCACACUUGUAUCUUUUACCUUCCCUUUGCCCCAUGCCCCCAAACUGCUUAGGUCUUCUCUGUCCCUUUACUGCUGCUGCACAGAGAUGAUAUAAAAGAGGCUCUUUGGCUAUUUGCAUUUUGCUUCCUCUUCUUUUCCAGAUUACAGUAUGAAGCUUUAUUUUCUUUGUACAAGCUUAAAAUUUCAACAUCAUCAUCCGCCAAAGUUGUUCCUCCCUUUUCGGAGGAUCUAGGGGGAAAGAGGAGCAUUCAUCACAAGUUUCCUAGAGAGAGGAGACAAAUCGGUGUGCCAUUGACAACAUGAGCCAGGGUAAAGGCACCCUUUGGAAUUACUGAUUUCAAAGAUUAAUAAAGUAAUUCUAUUUUU
rnacentral:lncRNA from 1 species